rnacentral:rRNA from 1 species
CCUACGGGGGGCUGCAGUGGGGAAUAUUGGACAAUGGGCGAAAGCCUGAUCCAGCCAUGCCGCGUGUGUGAAGAAGGCCUUCGGGUUGUAAAGCACUUUCAGUGGGGAAGAAAGCCUUGGGGCUAAUACCCUCGAGGAAGGACAUCACCCACAGAAGAAGCACCGGCUAACUCCGUGCCAGCAGCCGCGGUAAUACGGAGGGUGCGAGCGUUAAUCGGAAUUACUGGGCGUAAAGCGCGCGUAGGCGGUCUGAUAAGCCGGUUGUGAAAGCCCCGGGCUCAACCUGGGAACGGCAUCCGGAACUGUCAGGCUAGAGUGCAGGAGAGGAAGGUAGAAUUCCCGGUGUAGCGGUGAAAUGCGUAGAGAUCGGGAGGAAUACCAGUGGCGAAGGCGGCCUUCUGGAAUGACACUGACGCUGAGGUGCGAAAGCGUGGGUAGCAAACAGGAUUAGAUACCCCGGUAGUC